AAGUUCCUUCGAAGAGUCGAGUUGUUUGGGAAUGCAGCUCUAAGUGGGUGGUAAAUUCCAUCUAAAGCUAAAUAUUGGCGAGAGACCGAUAGCGAACAAGUACAGUGAUGGAAAGAUGAAAAGAACUUUGAAAAGAGAGUGAAAAAGUACGUGAAAUUGUUGAAAGGGAAGGGCUUGAGAUCAGACUUGGUAUUUUGUAUGUUACUCUCUCGGGGGUGGCCUCUACAGUUUACCGGGCCAGCAUCAGUUUGAGCGGUAGGAUAAGUGCAAAGAAAUGUGGCACUGCUUCGGUAGUGUGUUAUAGUCUUUGUCGAUACUGCCAGCUUAGACUGAGGACUGCGGCUUCGGCCUAGGAUGUUGGCAUAAUGAUCUUAAGUCGCCCGUCUUGAAACACGGACCAAGGAGUCUAACGUCUAUGCGAGUGUUUGGGUGUAAAACCCGUACGCGUAAUGAAAGUGAACGUAGGUAGGACCUCCUUUAGGAGUGCACUAUCGACCGAUCCUGAUGUCUUCGGAUGGAUUUGAGUAAGAGCAUAGCUGUUGGGACCCG
rnacentral:rRNA from 1 species